UUCAUUUUUCCCUCGAUCUGUAGUGGGUUUCAGGCAAAUUGCCUUGACUUAUUUUUGGAGAGUUUUAAGUUUUGAGAGUGCGUAUAUAUAGUUCACUUUAAAUUUUUGGAGACAAAUUGUCUGUUCUUUGGUUUGUAGCUGUCUCUGAGACGAGGCACGAGGCGUCUCCACUCGCGCCCGCCCGCGGAAGCCAGGCCCCAGGCUCAGCGGCAACGUUUGCAUGCCUUUCGCCUCCGGGCUCCGGCGCUCGCGCAGGCAGCCGUUCCUGCACCCGACGAGCCACGGCCACCGGGCGCGAAGAAACAGCUAUCGGGCUCGAAAAUCUACCGUCACCAGCUGGGCUGAAAUAUCCAGUCAAACAAAGCGCGCUGGCGAUCUCCAGAGCUUCCUUCUCUGGUCUGCCAACAAGCAACGGCCGUUCUCCGAAAACCGCCAGUUGACCUGACCACCAGCCACCCCCCCACCCCCUCUUCUGCGGCAACUGCAACAGAUCUACAGCAGGUCGGGCGUGUCAGAGCCUCUCUGUCUCUGCGCUUUGGGCGGCCAGGAAUCCAGCGAGAACUGCAUGCACUCUGCUCUGCAUCUGCAUAUGCGGCGUGCGUGGUCGCUCCAGCGUAGGCCUCGUUAAAAGUUCUUGUUCCUCCAUAUUAUUAUGUAUAUAUAUUCAUCUCUGGAUUUGAUGCUGGAUGUACGCAUUGAAAGAGAGGCCGGAGUCCGGCCAUCAGAAUGUGAACAUGCCGGUUGAAAGAAGCUACUAACUAGC